GUGCACAACCGGAGCUCCAGUGCUUGGCUGCCCCUCCACCUGGUGCCUGGACCUCCCCCACUGCCCUCCCUCCAACCAUCUGCGGUCUGAUGAAAGCUGCCAGUCCCCGCCCUGGGAAAACACAGAGGAAAAAAAUGUCUGCAGAUUACGGGUCCCUUAUCUGGGAUGCUGGAACCAGGUUUUUGGGGAUUUUUUUUCCAAUUUCAAAAUAUUCGUGCACAGUAGGAGAUGAGGUGGGGCGAAUCCAGGCCAGAACAGGAAUUCAUCUGCUUCCUGUGUGCCUUGUGCAUAUAGCCUGAAAGGAGUUUUUGUUUUAUUUCUUUGGGUUCUGGGAUCAAACCAGGGCCUCAUCCACCCGGGGCCCUUUUGAGAGAAGUUGUAUAGGCUGGCCUCGAAUUUGAGAUCCUCCUGCCUCAGCCUCCAGAGUGGCCAGGGUAGAGGUGUGUGCUGCUGCGCCUGGCAUGAGGGGAAGCCUCGGCCGCUGCUCCCUAUCUGUCUAGACGGCCUGGCCGGAACUGCGCUCCGGCCGGCUCAGGAAGUCUGUGGCAGGGCCCUGCAGGACGAGCUGUGACCCCGCAGAAGCUGCUGACGUUGCCGGAGACAUGACACAGACCAUUCCCCCGUAAUUGCCGCCUGCAGACCUUCCCAACCCUCUCCUGGGAGGCCCUGCCGUCGUCCUUGAGUGCGGAGUGAUGCGAUGUCUCUGGCGGCCCAGCCUAUGCAGAACCAGCCCAGCUGAUGUAAGGCGCAAGGCAGAGAGGCCGACGGCUCUGGAGCGGGAUGCGCCCGUCAGAGCAGAGCCAGGUGAGGUGAGACACACCUGUCAACCCAGAACUCAGGAGGCCAAGGCAGGAGGAUCUCGGAGAGUUCAAGG
rnacentral:lncRNA from 1 species